UACAGAGGGUGCGAGCGUUGUUCGGAAUUAUUGGGCGUAAAGGGCGCGUAGGCGGUGCGGUAAGUCACCUGUGAAAUCUCCUGGCUCAACUGGGAGCUUGCAGGCGAAACUGCCGUGCUGGAGUGUGGGAGAGGUGCGUGGAAUUCCCGGUGUAGCGGUGAAAUGCGUAGAUAUCAGGAAGAACACCUAUGGCGAAGGCAGCACUCUGGGACGGUACUGACGCUGAGACGCGAAAGCGUGGGGAGCGAACAGG
rnacentral:rRNA from 1 species